ACUCCUACGGGAGGCAGCGGUGGGGAAUUUUGGACAAUGGGCGCAAGCCUGAUCCAGCCAUGCCGCGUGCGGGAAGAAGGCCUUCGGGUUGUAAACCGCUUUUGUCAGGGAAGAAAUCCUUCGGGUUAAUACCUCGGGGGGAUGACGGUACCUGAAGAAUAAGCACCGGCUAACUACGUGCCAGCAGCCGCGGUAAUACA
rnacentral:rRNA from 1 species